UAACCGGAUUAGAUACCCUGGUAGUCCACGCCCUAAACGAUGUCUACUAGUUGUCGGGUUUUAAUUAACUUGGUAACGCAGCUAACGCGUGAAGUAGACCGCCUGGGGAGUACGGUCGCAAGAUUAAAACUCAAAGGAAUUGACGGGGACCCGCACAAGCGGUGGAUGAUGUGGAUUAAUUCGAUGCAACGCGAAAAACCUUACCUACCCUUGACAUGUCAGGAAGUCUGGAGAGAUCUGGAUGUGCCCGAAAGGGAACCUGAACACAGGUGCUGCAUGGCUGUCGUCAGCUCGUGUCGUGAGAUGUUGGGUUAAGUCCCGCAACGAGCGCAACCCUUGUCAUUAGUUGCUACGAAAGGGCACUCUAAUGAGACUGCCGGUGACAAACCGGAGGAAGGUGGGGAUGACGUCAAGUCCUCAUGGCCCUUAUGGGUAGGGCUUCACACGUCAUACAAUGGUGCAUACAGAGGGCCGCCAACCCGCGAGGGGGAGCUAAUCCCAGAAAGUGCGUCGUAGUCCGGAUCGCAGUCUGCAACUCGACUGCGUGAAGUUGGAAUCGCUAGUAAUCGCGGAUCAGCAUGUCGCGGUGAAUACGUUCCCGGGUCUUGUACACACCGCCCGUCACACCAUGGGAGCGGGUUUUACCAGAAGUAGGUAGCUUAACCGCAAGGNGGGCGCUUACCACGGUAGGAUUCGUGACUGGGGUGAAGUCGUAACAAGGUAACCA
rnacentral:rRNA from 1 species